rnacentral:rRNA from 1 species
GUGAGGAAUAUUGGACAAUGGGCGCAAGCCUGAUCCAGCCAUGCCGCGUGCAGGAAGACGCAUCUAUGGUGUGUAAACUGCUUUUGUACGGGAAGAAACACUCCCUCGUGAGGGAGCUUGACGGUACCGUAAGAAUAAGGAUCGGCUAACUCCGUGCCAGCAGCCGCGGUAAUACGGAGGAUCCAAGUGUUAUCCGGAAUCAUUGGGUUUAAAGGGUCCGUAGGCGGUUUAAUAAGUCAGUGGUGAAAGCCCAUCGCUCAACGAUGGAACGACCAUUGAUACUGUUAGACUUGAAUUACAAGGAAGUAACUAGAAUAUGUAGUGUAGCGGUGAAAUGCUUAGAUAUUACAUGGAAUACCAAUUGCGAAGGCAGGUUACUACUUGUGGAUUGACGCUGAUGGACGAAAGCGUGGGGAGCGAACAGGAUUAGAAACCCUGGUAGUCC